rnacentral:rRNA from 1 species
AGUGAACGCUGGCGGUAGGCCAAACACAUGCAAGUCGAACGGCAGCACAGUAAGAGCUUGCUCUUACGGGUGGCGAGUGGCGGACGGGUGAGGAAUACAUCGGAAUCUACUUUUUCGUGGGGGAUAGCGUAGGGAAACUUACGCUAAUACCGCAUACGACCUACGGGUGAAAGCAGGGGAUCUUCGGACCUUGCGCGAUUGAAUGAGCCGAUGUCGGAUUAGCUAGUUGGCGGGGUAAAGGCCCACCAAGGCGACGAUCCGUAGCUGGUCUGAGAGGAUGAUCAGCCACACUGGAACUGAGACACGGUCCAGACUCCUACGGGAGGCAGCAGUGGGGAAUAUUGGACAAUGGGCGCAAGCCUGAUCCAGCCAUACCGCGUGGGUGAAGAAGGCCUUCGGGUUGUAAAGCCCUUUUGUUGGGAAAGAAAAGCAGCAGGUUAAUACCCCGCUGUUCUGACGGUACCCAAAGAAUAAGCACCGGCUAACUUCGUG